AUAAGAUUGUAGUAUCGCAUGAUAUAGCAAUUAAAGGAAGCAAUCCGCUAUAAGAUGGACCCGCGUCGCAUUAGCUAGUUGGUGAGGUAAUGGCUCACCAAGGCGACGAUGCGUAGCCGACCUGAGAGGGUGAUCGGCCACAUUGGGACUGAGACACGGCCCAGACUCCUACGGGAGGCAGCAUG
rnacentral:rRNA from 1 species